GCCGCGCCAUAAACUGUAUUAAACAGCACACGAACAGCCUAGAUGACCGCGCCAUCAACUGAAUUAAACGGCAAACAAACAGAAUCCACGAUUUUAUGCCUGAAAGAGAUCACCGCGACAUCAAACGAAAAGAAUGCCAGCUUUAAUGCC